rnacentral:lncRNA from 1 species
GGAAAAUGAUAUACUUUAGAUUAAAAUUUACUUCAGUUUUUAAAUACUUUUCUACUUUCAGUUUCUUGCACACCUGAAGUAAUAGAAUGAGGAUACUCUAGGCUGCAUACACAUAAAGGAUACACAGACAAUUAGUUCAAGUGAUUUUGAAUUGUCAAGUGAUGAAGGACUAGAAGGUCAAAAAACUCUUCCAGUGCUCCUGGAAGCCCCUGGAUACCCUCCUCUGGUGCAGCAGGGUCUCUGCGUAAGCGUUGUGUCUCUUUCUUCUGG